rnacentral:rRNA from 1 species
CCUACGGGUGGCAGCAGUGGGGAAUAUUGCACAAUGGGGGAAACCCUGAUGCAGCGACGCCGCGUGGGUGACGAAGUAUUUCGGUAUGUAAAGCCCUAUCAGCAGGGAAGAAGAUGACAGUACCUGACCAAGACGCCCCGGCUAACUACGUGCCAGCAGCCGCGGUAAUACGUAGGGGGCAAGCGUUAUCCGGAUUUACUGGGUGUAAAGGGAGCGUAGGUGGCAUGGCAAGCCAGAAGUGAAAACCCGGGGCUUAACCCCGCGGAUUGCUUUUGGAACUGUCAGGCUGGAGUGCAGGAGGGGCAGGCGGAAUUCCUGGUGUAGCGGUGAAAUGCGUAGAUAUCAGGAGGAACACCGGUGGCGAAGGCGGCCUGCUGGACUGUAACUGACACUGAGGCUCGAAAGCGUGGGGAGCAAACAGGAUUAGAUACCCCAGUAGUC